GAGAAGCCUUUAAAGGAGGUCAGAUCGCUGCAGGUUACAGUGUGUUUAGGAUAAAGUGGCGCAUUAAGGCGGACUGGGUGUCUCACUUGUUUGCGGCGGAUGUUCUGCGCGAGCUGGCCGGCGGAAGCGCGCAGCAGCAGCGGCUCGGUGAUGGGGGGAAGCCGGCGACCUUCUCUGCUUCCUGGCUGUUGUUGAGGCGCGAAUAACCUGAAAACUAGCAAGAACACUUUAACAACAACACGCAGCAAACGACCCCACAAGCGCUCCAGCCGUGACGAGGCCAUCUCGAGCGGAUCAGGACGCGAGGAGGAAACGAGCUGCUUUAUCACUGGAAUAAAACCGGAUUGUGUUGCUUCACUGCCCCCAUCAUGCAGCGCGGUGCAACUACUGGACACAUCAGCCGCUUUAUCCUUCUACAGGGUCGCAGGCGAGUUGGAGCCUAUCCCAGCUGACUACAGGCGAAAGGCGGGGUACACCCUGGACAAGUCGCCAGGUCAUCACAGGGCCGACACAUAGACACAGACAACCAUUCACACUCACAUUCACACCUACGGUCAAUUUAGAGUCACCAGUUAACCUAACCUGCAUGUCUUUGGACUGUGGGGGACAGGGGCGCCGCCAGAAAUUUUGGGCCCCAUGAAAGAUUAGAAUUUUGGGCCCCCCAACUUUGCCCACCCUCGUCACAAUUGCACUAUUGUCAUUAUUUGACUUUUGAUAGCCCAUGGACCUUGAGUUUGUGACUUUGUUAUUACAUUUUAUGUAUUAACCUACCAGGGACUAGAUGAAAAACUGGUCAGUGACUAAUUCUGGUGCAUUUACAAUCACAAAUGAAAAUUCAAGAUUUUGCCACAUGCCUUCUUGUGCUAGGACAAUUGGUAGUGAAAUGUGUGAUGUGACUGCUUUCUGUUAUUAGCAACACUUUAAUCGAGCAAACUGUAUAUGGCGCUCGCUCAUUAAAAACUUAAAUCCUAAA